CCUCAGACUCCUGGGUUCAAGCAGUUCUCCUGCCUCAACCUCCUGAGUAGCUUGGAUUACAGGUUCUCGAUCUCUUAUCCAAGCUGGCGUACAGUGGCAUGAUCAUAGCUCAUUGCAGCCUUCCUCCUGGGCUCAAGUGAUCCUCCAGCCUUAGCCUCCCAAGUAGCUAGGAUUACAGGUGCCAACCUCCAUGCCUGGCUUCAGUUGCUUUCUCUGAUCUGACUGCAUUGAUUGGCUAAUACCUCCAGUAAAAUACAAUAAUGGAGAUCAAUGGCACUGCUCCUGAAAUCAGAGGUAACAGUAAUAAUUCCUACUAAAAGCCUCACUUUUCUGACAUACUCCUAGACAAACAAAUCAUAAAACUGUUCUAAUGAA